CUGCGGAGGGAUCAUUACCGAGUUUACAACUCCCAAACCCCUGUGAACAUACCACUUGUUGCCUCGGCGGAUCAGCCCGCUCCCGGUAAAACGGGACGGCCCGCCAGAGGACCCCUAAACUCUGUUUCUAUAUGUAACUUCUGAGUAAAACCAUAAAUAAAUCAAAACUUUCAACAACGGAUCUCUUGGUUCUGGCAUCGAUGAAGAACGCAGCAAAAUGCGAUAAGUAAUGUGAAUUGCAGAAUUCAGUGAAUCAUCGAAUCUUUGAACGCACAUUGCGCCCGCCAGUAUUCUGGCGGGCAUGCCUGUUCGAGCGUCAUUUCAACCCUCAAGCACAGCUUGGUGUUGGGACUCGCGUUAAUUCGCGUUCCCCAAAUUGAUUGGCGGUCACGUCGAGCUUCCAUAGCGUAGUAGUAAAACCCUCGUUACUGGUAAUCGUCGCGGCCACGCCGUUAAACCCCAACUUCUGAAUGUUGACCUCGGAUCAGGUAGGAAUACCCGCUGAACUUAAGC
rnacentral:misc_RNA from 1 species